rnacentral:rRNA from 1 species
AGUGAACGCUGGCGGCAGGCCUAACACAUGCAAGUCGAGCGGCAGCGCGUCCGACCACCCUCGGGUGGUCGGAUGGCGGCGAGCGGCGGACGGGUGAGGAAUGCAUCGGAAUCUGCCUCGUCGUGGGGGAUAACGUAGGGAAACUUACGCUAAUACCGCAUACGACCUACGGGUGAAAGUGGGGGACCUUCGGGCCUCACGCGAUGAGAUGAGCCGAUGCCGGAUUAGCUAGUUGGCGGGGUAAAGGCCCACCAAGGCGACGAUCCGUAGCUGGUCUGAGAGGAUGAUCAGCCACACUGGAACUGAGACACGGUCCAGACUCCUACGGGAGGCAGCAGUGGGGAAUAUUGCGCAAUGGGCGAAAGCCUGACGCAGCCACGCCGCGUGAGCGAUGAAGGCCUUCGGUCGUAAGACUCUGUGGGAGAGAG